rnacentral:rRNA from 1 species
AGGUACGUACAGGGGUAGGAGGUGAAAUACUUCGUAAUCCCUCGUGGGACCGACCUGUGGCGAAGGCGUCUUACCAGAACGGUUCGACGGUGAGGGACGAAGCUGGGGGCGACGAACCGGAUUAGAUACCCGGGUAGUCCCAGCCGUAAACGAUGCUCGCUAGGUGUCAGGCAUGGCGCGACCGUGUCUGGUGCCGCAGGGAAGCCGUGAAGCGAGCCACCUGGGAAGUACGGCCGCAAGGCUGAAACUUAAAGGAAUUGGCGGGGGAGCACAACAACGGGUGGAGCCCUGCGGUUUAAUUGGACUCAACGCCGGACAACUCACCGGGGGCGACAGCAAUAUGUAGGCCAAGCUGAAGACUUUGCCUGAAUCGCUGAGUAGUGGUGCAUGG